CUUUUUGAAUAUAAUUUAAAGUCUGACCUGCCCAAUGAAUAAUUAAAUGGCCGCGGUAUAUUGACCGUGCAAAGGUAGCAUAAUCAUUUGUUUUUUAAUUGAAAGCUGGAAUGAAAGGUUUGAUGAGAAAAUAACUGUCUCUAUUUAAAUUUUAGAAUUUUAUUUUUAAGUUAAAAAGCUUAAAUAAUUUUCGAAGACGAGAAGACCCUAUAGAGUUUUAUAAUUUAAAUAAUUAAUAAAUUUAUAAUUUUUAAAUUUAAUAAUUUAAAUUAUUAGAUUGGGGUGAUUGAAAAAUUAAUUUAACUUUUUUUUUAUAAAUACAUUAAUUAAUGAUUAAUUGAUCCUUAUUAAAGAUUAAAAGAUUAAAUUACCUUAGGGAUAACAGCGUAAUUUUUUUUUAGAGUUCAAAUUAAAAAAAAAGAUUGCGACCUCGAUGUUGGAUUAAAAUUAAUUAUUGGUGUAGAGGCUAAA
rnacentral:rRNA from 1 species